rnacentral:lncRNA from 1 species
CCCUAAGUUCUAUUUUUAGCCAUGGCGACCAUCUUGGUUGGUUGGGCGGGUCACCCGACACAUUUUUUUAAACUAGAUACCCCAAUGAUGAUUAUGGCCAAGUUUGGUUAAAUUUGGCCUAGUUGUUUCAGAGGAGAAGAUUUUUCCAAAAGAUUACUAAGAUUUACGAAAAAUGGUUAAAAAUUGACUAUAAAGGGCAAUAACUCCUAAAGUGGUCAACUGACCAUUUUGGUCAUAUUGACUUAUUUGUAGAUCUUACUUUGCU